AGAGUUUGAUCAUGGCUCAGGAUGAACGCUAGCUACAGGCUUAACACAUGCAAGUCGAGGGGAAACGAUAUUGGAAGCUUGCUUCCGAUAGGCGUCGACCGGCGCACGGGUGAGUAACGCGUAUCCAACCUGCCCACCACUUGGGGAUAACCUUGCGAAAGUAAGACUAAUACCCAAUGAUAUCUCUAGAAGACAUCUGAAAGAGAUUAAAGAUUUAUCGGUGAUGGAUGGGGAUGCGUCUGAUUAGCUUGUUGGCGGGGUAACGGCCCACCAAGGCAACGAUCAGUAGGGGUUCUGAGAGGAAGGUCCCCCACAUUGGAACUGAGACACGGUCCAAACUCCUACGGGAGGCAGCAGUGAGGAAUAUUGGUCAAUGGACGAGAGUCUGAACCAGCCAAGUAGCGUGCAGGAAGACGGCCCUAUGGGUUGUAAACUGCUUUUAUAAGGGAAUAAAGUGAGAGUCGUGACUCUUUUUGCAUGUACCUUAUGAAUAAGGACCGGCUAAUUCCGUGCCAGCAGCCGCGGUAAUACGGAAGGUCCGGGCGUUAUCCGGAUUUAUUGGGUUUAAAGGGAGCGUAGGCCGGAGAUUAAGCGUGUUGUGAAAUGUAGACGCUCAACGUCUGCACUGCAGCGCGAACUGGUUUCCUUGAGUACGUACAAAGUGGGCGGAAUUCGUGGUGUAGCGGUGAAAUGCUUAGAUAUCACGAAGAACUCCGAUUGCGAAGGCAGCUCACUGGAGCGCAACUGACGCUGAAGCUCGAAAGUGCGGGUAUCGAACAGGAUUAGAUACCCUGGUAGUCCGCACGGUAAACGAUGGAUGCCCGCUGUUGGUCUGAAUAGGUCAGCGGCCAAGCGAAAGCAUUAAGCAUCCCACCUGGGGAGUACGCCGGCAACGGUGAAACUCAAAGGAAUUGACGGGGGCCCGCACAAGCGGGGGAACAUGUGGUUUAAUUCGAUGAUACGCGAGGAACCUUACCCGGGCUUGAAUUGCAGAGGAAGGAUUUGGAGACAAUGACGCCCUUCGGGGCCUCUGUGAAGGUGCUGCAUGGCUGUCGUCAGCUCGUGUCGUGAGAUGUUGGGUUAAGUCCCGCAACGAGCGCAACCCCUAUCUUAUGUUACCAGCACGUUAUGGUGGGGACUCAUGAGAGACCGCCGCGGACAACGCGGAGGAAGGUGGGGAUGACGUCAAGUCAUCGUGCCCCUUAUGACCUGGGCUACACACGUACUACAAUGGGUGUCAACAAAGAGAAGCGAAACCGCGAGGUGGAGCGAACCUCAAAAACACACCCCCAGUUCAGAUUGCAGGCUGCAACCCGCCUGCAUGAAGUAGGAAUCGCUAGUAAUCGCGGGUCAGCAUACCGCGGUGAAUACGUUCCCGGGCCUUGUACACACCGCCCGUCACACUAUGAGAGUCGGAAACACCCGAAGCCGGUGAGGUAACCGCAAGGAGCCAGCCGUCGAAGGUGGAGCUGAUGAUUGGAGUGAAGUCGUAACAAGGUA
rnacentral:rRNA from 1 species